GGAGGAAAGCAGGGGAUCGCAAGACCUUGCGCUUUUGGAGCGGCCGAUGCCUGAUUAGCUUGUUGGUAAGGUAAAAGCUUACCAAGACUUCGAUCAGUAGCUGGUCUGAGAGGACGGCCAGCCACACUGGGACUGAGACACGGCCCAGACUCCUACGGGAGGCAGCAGUGGGGAAUUUUGGACAAUGGGGGCAACCCUGAUCCAGCCAUGCCGCGUGAGUGAAGAAGGCCUUCGGGUUGUAAAGCUCUUUCAGCCGGAACGAAACGGUUACGGUUAAUACCCGUGACUAAUGACGGUACCGGAAGAAGAAGCACCGGCUAACUACGUGCCAGCAGCCGCGGUAAUACGUAGGGUGCGAGCGUUAAUCGGAAUUACUGGGCGUAAAGCGUGCGCAGGUGGUUUUGUAAGUCAGAUGUGAAAUCCCCGGGCUCAACCUGGGAACUGCGUUUGAAACUACAAGGCUAG
rnacentral:rRNA from 1 species